UCCAUACUUUCUAGAAUUUGCUCCAUUCUUCCAAGACUCUCUCUCCCUCUCUUACCUUUCUUUCUCCUUUGUUACUGUUUCUUGGCCUCACUUUUCCAGAAUUUUUCAAUCUGGUUUGAGUUUUGCUCUGGCGUUGCGAUACUUAUUUAUGAAUAAUAACCGGCUUUUAGAUGCUAUGAGUCAUGAAGAGAAUUUUGGACUUGCGUACAAUUUUUUGGACAACAAAACUAUUGGCGCAGAAAAUAUUUGAGACAUGAACAAGAAGUCAGUUUAUUCUGAAUUUGAAGACUUCAUUGAGCCACAAGAAACAAUAGGUUGUACAAAGUGUUAUGCCGAUGGUGUUUAUGCAACUAAUGGUAAAUGUUAGAAAGUAUUUGCAAGUUCAAUUGAAUUGAUACUUAUUAGAUUAUAGCUUUUGUGCCCCUCUUGAUAUAAACGUUACCUAUGAUUGAUAUUGAGUGGAGGCGGUCAAUAGAGAUAUAAAUCUGGGGACUACAAUAUGUAAGUCUCUUCAUUUUUAAUGGAGUGGUAUGGGUUCGCAUAAUUAAGUUUGAUAUCCUAUCGAUCCUUUUAUACCAAAUUCUGUAUAUGACCAGAAGUCUUUUAUUUCUUUCACUUUCCUAAUUUAUAAAUAGCUUUCAGCUGUAAAACCUGAUUGGCAAUUCGAUGGACAAGAGAAUGAAAGCAUUGGGUGUAAACUAAAAGGAUAUCAAGAAUUAUUGCUGUCAUUAUAUUUAUGUAUUAUUUAGAUUUUCUUAUGUUUGUUUAGUAUACAAUUUCAGAGUUUAUGCUGCGGGAAGAGACAAUCAUUGUUUGCUAAGUAAUAAGAUAUACAAUAAGAUAAUAUUGUUGUUAGAUUAUCCAAGUUCAAUUUGUAUCUGCAAACUUCCCCUUCCAUUAAUUAAGUUUAGAAGCACAAAUACACUCCCUUUCAAGAUAGUUAGUAUAGCUUAGAAUUGAAACCUCUAUAUUGUGUUUUCAAUCAAUGUGUGAUAAUAUAUAACGCAUGCUCAGGUUCCACUCAUCCUAAUUGCAAUUAUUGUCCCAACUGUGAAAGCAAAAGCUUAUAAUUUCACUUACUUUCCUUUGAUUGUGCUUCUGGUUUGAUGUGGAUUUCUUUA